UACGAAGGGUGCAAGCGUUAAUCGGAAUUACUGGGCGUAAAGCGUGCGUAGGUGGUUUCUUAAGUCUGCUGUGAAAGCCCUGGGCUCAACCUGGGAAUGGCGGUGGAUACUGAGGAGCUAGAGUGCGGUAGAGGAGGGUGGAAUUCCCGGUGUAGCGGUGAAAUGCGUAGAGAUCGGGAGGAACAUCAGUGGCGAAGGCGGCCCUCUGGACCAGCACUGACGCUGAGGCACGAAAGCGUGGGGAGCAAACGGG
rnacentral:rRNA from 1 species